ensembl:miRNA
CUCCGAAUGUUGUUGUUGGUGGCGGCGGCGAGCGGAGCCGGAGGAGCCGCCGCAAAGAUGGAGGAGCCGUCGAGGAGG